GAAAUGCGAUAAGUAGUGUGAAUUGCAGAAUUCAGUGAAUCAUCGAAUCUUUGAACGCACAUUGCGCCCCUUGGUAUUCCAUGGGGCAUGCCUGUUCGAGCGUCAUUUGUACCCUCAAGCUCUGCUUGGUGUUGGGUGUUUGUCCCCGUCUCCGCGCGUGGACUCGCCCCAAAGUGAUUGGCAGCCGGCGUACUGGUCCCGGAGCGCAGCACAUGUCGCGCAAACGAGUGCCUUGGUACGGCGGCGUCCAUAAGCCCCUCUCUCACGCUCUUGACCUCGGAUCAGGCAGGGAUACCCGCUGAACUUAAGC
rnacentral:misc_RNA from 1 species